rnacentral:rRNA from 1 species
UACGUAGGGAGCAAGCGUUUGUCCGGAAUCAUUGGGCGUAAAGCGCGCGUAGGCGGCCUCAUAAGUCCGUUGUGAAAGUCAAAGGCUCAACCUUUGAAAGCCGAUGGAUACUGUGGGGCUAGAGUCCGGAAGAGGCGAGUGGAAUUCCCGGUGUAGCGGUGAAAUGCGCAGAUAUCAGGAGGAACACCGGUGGCGAAGGCGGUUCUCUGGGCAUGUCCUGACGCUGAGGAGCGAAAGUGUGGGGAGCGAACAGG